rnacentral:rRNA from 1 species
AUGGCUGCCGUUGGCGUCACCUCCCCGGCGGCACCGGCCACCGUAUCCGCCGCCGUAUGUUCCUCGUCGACGCGCCGCCGAGUACAUCUUGUCCCUACCCGAUUCUUCGCAGCAGCGUCGUUCCGCCGGCGAUGUGCGGCUGCGGCCGACGGCGGGGCCGCGGCCUCUGAGGACCUGGCUGCGGCAGCGGAUGGGUAUCCCGACGCUGGAACUGACGUCGCCGGCGGCGCUGCCACUUCCACGCGGCCUCCCUACUCGCUCAUCUCCGCCGCCAACGUGCAGAAGGCGAUGCGCGGCCUUGGUGCGCGUUUCUUGUUUGAUUUAUACGCAAUUACAGAUGCUGAUCACUAUGGGAGGCUUGGAAUUACCAGAUUAGCGUCAACCGAUGAGGUCAAAGCUGCAUAUGAGAAACGGUGUGAACAACUAAAUAAGCAAGGACUGGAAGAAGAGGAAAUCAGCAAGGAACAUGACCUAUUGAAGGAAUCUUUUACCAUAUUAUCAACCGAGGAAGAGAGAAGAUUAUAUGAUUGGAGCUUGGAGAGAAAUGGGCAGCCUGAGUGA